ACGGGAGGCAGCAGUAGGGAAUAUUGCACAAUGGGGGGGAACCCUGAUGCAGCAACGCCACGUGUGGGAAGAAGCAUUUCGGUGUGUAAACCACUGUCGUGAGGGAAUAAUGCUUGGCUCCGGCCAAGUUGAAUGUACCUCGAAAGGAAGCACCGGCAAACUUCGUGCCAGCAGCCGCGGUAAUACGAGGGGUGCAAGCGUUGUUCGGAAUCACUGGGCGUAAAGGGAGCGUAGGCGGAGACGCAAGCAGUCGGUACAAUAACGGGGCCCAACCGCGGAGCUGCAGACUGGACUGUGUCUCUUGGAUAGUGCAGGGGCAGGCGGAAUUCCUGGUGUAGCGGUGGAAUGCGUAGAGAUCAGGAAGAACACCGAUGGCGAAGGCAGCCUGCUGGGGUCUCAUCGACGCUAAGGCUCGAAAGUGCGGGUAGCAAACAGGAUUAGAUACCCUGGUA
rnacentral:rRNA from 1 species